rnacentral:rRNA from 1 species
CCUACGGGUGGCAGCAGUGGGGAAUAUUGGACAAUGGGCGAAAGCCUGAUCCAGCCAUGCCGCGUGUGUGAAGAAAGCCUUCGGGUUGUAAAGCACUUUCAGUGGGGAAGAAAGCCUUGGGGCUAAUACCCUCGAGGAAGGACAUCACCCACAGAAGAAGCACCGGCUAACUCCGUGCCAGCAGCCGCGGUAAUACGGAGGGUGCGAGCGUUAAUCGGAAUUACUGGGCGUAAAGCGCGCGUAGGCGGUCUGAUAAGCCGGUUGUGAAAGCCCCGGGCUCAACCUGGGAACGGCAUCCGGAACUGUCAGGCUAGAGUGCAGGAGAGGAAGGUAGAAUUCCCGGUGUAGCGGUGAAAUGCGUAGAGAUCGGGAGGAAUACCAGUGGCGAAGGCGGCCUUCUGGACUGACACUGACGCUGAGGUGCGAAAGCGUGGGUAGCAAACAGGAUUAGAUACCCGAGUAGUC